rnacentral:rRNA from 1 species
AUACCCUAUUAUUUUUAGUGUAAAAUUGAGUAGGCUUGAGUAGUAGUAGAAAGGAUCUUGAAACUCAAAGAAUUUGGCGGUAUUAUAAUCUUUUUAGAGGAAUCUGUCACGUGAUCGAUAGUCCACGUUGAACCUUACUUAUUUUGAUUUUCUUGUAUACCGCUGUUUGAAGUAAAUACUUUUAGGUUAUGAAUUUUCUUAAUAAAUUAAUAAUUAGGAUUUCAAGUCAAGGUGCAGUUAUGGAUAAGUGUUAGAUGGAUUACAAUAAAAUUUAUUUAAUGGACGGAUUAUUAUUAAAAUGUAUAAUGAAGGUGGAUUUAAUUGUAAUUUUUAAAGAU